UCGGGAAUAUUGCGCAAUGGAGGAAACUCUGACGCAGUGACGCCGCGUAUAGGAAGAAGGUUUUCGGAUUGUAAACUAUUGUCGUUAGGGAAGAUAAAAGACUGUACCUAAGGAGGAAGCCCCGGCUAACUAUGUGCCAGCAGCCGCGGUAAUACAUAGGGGGCAAGCGUUAUCCGGAAUUAUUGGGUGUAAAGGGUGCGUAGACGGAGAAACAAGUUGGUUGUGAAAUCCCUCGGCUCAACUGAGGAACUGCAACCAAAACUAUUUCCCUUGAGUGUCGGAGAGGAAAGUGGAAUUCCUAGUGUAGCGGUGAAAUGCGUAGAUAUUAGGAGGAACACCAGUGGCGAAGGCGACUUUCUGGACGAUAACUGACGUUGAGGCACGAAAGUGUGGGGAGCAAACAGG
rnacentral:rRNA from 1 species